GGAUGUGAGGGCGAUCUGGCUGCGACAUCUGUCACCCCAUUGAUCGCCAGGGCUGGUUCGGCUGAUCUGGCUGGCUAGGCGGGUGUCCCCUUCCUCCCUCACCGUUCCAUGUGCGUCCCUCCAUCCUUCCCCAAAGAGAGAUGGAUGGGUCUUCGGUCGAGGGUAUACGAGUAGCUGCACUCCCCUGCUAGAACCUCCAAACAAUAUAUACAUAUAUCAAAUUAUCACAAUGUGCACCUUAAAUGUAUACAAAGCCUUAUGUCAAUUACAUUUCACUAA
ensembl:misc_RNA 7SK 7SK RNA